AACGAACGCUGGCGGCAGGCCUAACACAUGCAAGUCGAACGGUAACAGGUCUUCGGAUGCUGACGAGUGGCGAACGGGUGAGUAAUACAUCGGAACGUGCCCGAGAGUGGGGGAUAACGAGGCGAAAGCUUUGCUAAUACCGCAUACGAUCUCAGGAUGAAAGCAGGGGACCGAAAGGCCUUGCGCUCACGGAGCGGCCGAUGGCAGAUUAGGUAGUUGGUGGGAUAAAAGCUUACCAAGCCGACGAUCUGUAGCUGGUCUGAGAGGACGACCAGCCACACUGGGACUGAGACACGGCCCAGACUCCUACGGGAGGCAGCAGUGGGGAAUUUUGGACAAUGGGCGCAAGCCUGAUCCAGCCAUGCCGCGUGCAGGAUGAAGGCCUUCGGGUUGUAAACUGCUUUUGUACGGAACGAAAAGACUCCUUCUAAUAAAGGGGGUCCAUGACGGUACCGUAAGAAUAAGCACCGGCUAACUACGUGCCAGCCGCCGCCGUAAGAC
rnacentral:rRNA from 1 species